UAAAGUGAUGAUACGUGCCAUUUCGGCAUACCAAAUUAGUGACUAGCAUUUUUGCGAUGAUGUCUACUACGUUAACCAUCUUUCGGGGCUGAUC
rnacentral:snoRNA from 1 species